rnacentral:rRNA from 1 species
GAUGAACGCUGGCGGCGUGCCUAAUACAUGCAAGUCGAGCGAACGGACGAGAAGCUUGCUUCUCUGAUGUUAGCGGCGGACGGGUGAGUAACACGUGGAUAACCUACCUAUAAGACUGGGAUAACUUCGGGAAACCGGAGCUAAUACCGGAUAAUAUUUUGAACCGCAUGGUUCAAAAGUGAAAGACGGUCUUGCUGUCACUUAUAGAUGGAUCCGCGCUGCAUUAGCUAGUUGGUAAGGUAACGGCUUACCAAGGCAACGAUGCAUAGCCGACCUGAGAGGGUGAUCGGCCACACUGGAACUGAGACACGGUCCAGACUCCUACGGGAGGCAGCAGUAGGGAAUCUUCCGCAAUGGGCGAAAGCCUGACGGAGCAACGCCGCGUGAGUGAUGAAGGUCUUCGGAUCGUAAAACUCUGUUAUUAGGGAAGAACAUAUGUGUAAGUAACUGUGCACAUCUUGACGGUACCUAAUCAGAAAGCCACGGCUAACUACGUGCCAGCAGCCGCGGUAAUACGUAGGUGGCAAGCGUUAUCCGGAAUUAUUGGGCGUAAAGCGCGCGUAGGCGGUUUUUUAAGUCUGAUGUGAAAGCCCACGGCUCAACCGUGGAGGGUCAUUGGAAACUGGAAAACUUGAGUGCAGAAGAGGAAAGUGGAAUUCCAUGUGUAGCGGUGAAAUGCGCAGAGAUAUGGAGGAACACCAGUGGCGAAGGCGACUUUCUGGUCUGUAACUGACGCUGAUGUGCGAAAGCGUGGGGAUCAAACAGGAUUAGAUACCCUGGUAGUCCACGCCGUAAACGAUGAGUGCUAAGUGUUAGGGGGUUUCCGCCCCUUAGUGCUGCAGCUAACGCAUUAAGCACUCCGCCUGGGGAGUACGACCGCAAGGUUGAAACUCAAAGGAAUUGACGGGGACCCGCACAAGCGGUGGAGCAUGUGGUUUAAUUCGAAGCAACGCGAAGAACCUUACCAAAUCUUGACAUCCUUUGACAACUCUAGAGAUAGAGCCUUCCCCUUCGGGGGGGGCAAAGUGACAGGUGGUGCAUGGUUGUCGUCAGCUCGUGUCGUGAGAUGUUGGGUUAAGUCCCGCAACGAGCGCAACCCUUAAGCUUAGCUGCCAUCAUUAAGUUGGGCACUCUAAGUUGACUGCCGGUGACAAACCGGAGGAAGGUGGGGAUGACGUCAAAUCAUCAUGCCCCUUAUGAUUUGGGCUACACACGUGCUACAAUGGACAAUACAAAGGGCAGCGAAACCGCGAGGUCAAGCAAAUCCCAUAAAGUUGUUCUCAGUUCGGAUUGUAGUCUGCAACUCGACUACAUGAAGCUGGAAUCGCUAGUAAUCGUAGAUCAGCAUGCUACGGAGAAUACGUUCCCGGGUCU